GACGUAGGUGGCGAACGUUAUCCGGAAUUAUUGGGCGUAAAGGAUGCGUAGAUGGUGUAGUAAGUUAUCGGUGGCAAAUCGAGGCUCAACCUCGUGGAAGUCGGUAAUACUGCUAUGCUAGAGGAUAGGAGAGGUUAACGGAACUCCCUGUGGAGCGGUGAAAUGCGUAGAUAUAGGGAAGAACACCAAUGAGGCGAAGGCAGUUAACUAUUCUAUUCCUGACAUUGAGGCAUGAAAGCGUGGGGAGCAAAACGG
rnacentral:rRNA from 1 species